UUGUUCUUUGAAGUUUGAUUUUGUUCUUAUUUAUUACUUUUUUUUUUUGGUGUUUGUCGAUAUAAUCAUAAACACAUUUGUUUUUGGUUUGAUUUUUGUUUUCUGAAUUUCUUGUUGUGGAGUUGUCUGAAUUUCUUGUUGUGGAUUGGGUCUGAUUUUUGUUUUCUGAAUUUACUUAUUUUAUUUGGGUGCUUGAGAACUCUAAUGGGUUUGGGUUAGUUUAUAAUAAUGUGUUGAACAAAAAUCAUGAUUUGAGAAAUAUAUAUGUGUGUACUGUGUUAUAAAUGUUGGCUAAAAUAGUGAAAAAUUAUGGGAAAUAGUUUUAAUUAGAAUCUAUUUUGAAAACCUAUAAUGAUAAAAUGUAGUUUAUGGGAUGAAAGGAAGCAAAGGGACGAUGUAAACUAACUAUUAACCAUAUUGUGUUGUGACAAUAGUCAUCGUGUUGUGAAUUCAACAAAAUUAUAAUCAUGCAAAGUCUUGCUAUGUGUUUAAUUGAAAGUGAUGUAGUGGAAGAAUAUAAUGCAUUUAAAUUAUUUUAUAUUUUAGUAAUGUUUACACAUUUAGUCUACUUUAUUUUGAGGGUACAUUAUUACUAUUUGUAGGUGAAAAUGACUAUAUCUAAUAAUAAUGAGUUAGAAGUAGAAAAAGGUGGUUCAACUCCAACAUCUAUGAACAUGAGUGAAUCAACUCCAAUUAAUAGUGCUUCAAGUGGUCAUGAUCAAUCUACACCUAUUACAUUAGAUACUGAUGAUAAUGAGGAAAUACUAAAAAGUAGUAGAUUAACAUCGGUUAUAUGAAAUCAUUAUAAAAAACAAAAGAUAAAUGAUACCAUGAAAGCAAUAUGUAAUUAUUGUGGAAAAAAGUUAGGAGGAGAAUCUAGAAAUGGAACAAAACAUUUACACGAUCAUUUCAAAAUUUGUCUAUUACGUAGACAAAGAGACAUUAGGCAAUCGUGCUUGAAACCCACUAAAACCAAUUAGGAAAAAUUAGUGUUAAAUUCAGCCCUCUUCGAUUAUGAAGCUUCUAGAAGAGACCUUGCGUGUGCCAUAAUUUUACAUGAAUAUCCUAUAAACAUGGUUGAACACAAAGGAUUUAGAAAGUUUUUGAGUGGUGUUCAACCAAUGUUUAAGAUGAUAUCAAGAAGCAGGAUGAGGAGAUAUAUAAUAAAAAUUUGUGAAGAAGAGAGAAUUAAAACAAUGAAAUUUUUAGAAAGCAACAAAAGUAGGAUUGCCCUUACUACAGACAUGUGAAAUGUGACAAGCCUGAAGAAGGGAUACAUGGCAAUCACUGCACAUUUUAUUGAUGAUUCUUAGGUCCUACGAAGUAGACUUUUGAGGUAAUUUAAUUUAAAUAUUUGAUUUUAUAAUCUAUUUUUUGUUCAACAUUUAGUAGUUUUCAUUUUAUCAUAUUAUUACGUAAUAAUAGGUUUGUACAUGUACCUCAUCCACAUACUGGACAUUUACUUGGUGAAGCAUUAAUGGAGUGUAUAUUUGAUUGGAACAUAGAUGGUAAUUGUCCACUUUAACUGUAGAUAAUUGUUCUACAAAUGAUGCAAUGGUUGACAUUUUAUUAAGAAAGUUAGAUUUGAGGACACUUUGGUUGCGUGAAAGUUUGUUUCAUAUUCGUUGUUGUGCACACAUUUUGAAUUUGAUAGUGAAAGAUGGUUUGGCUGUAGUUUCUGAUAGUAUAGAGAAUAUUAGAGGUACGGUUCAUUUUUGGACCAUUUCUCCAAAAAGGAAAGAAAAAUUUGAGGAAGGAGUUCGCCAAUUACAAAUUUCAUGCACUAAAAAACUAUGCCUUGAUUGUGUUACAAGAUGGAAUUCAACAUAUGUGAUGCUCAAAACUGCUUUGGAGUACAAGGAUGUGUUUACUCGUCUAAAACAACAUGAACCACUAUACAAUUGUCUUCCUUUAGAGACAUAUUGAGAUUUUGCAAAAGAAAUGUGUGAUAGAUUAGAACCAUUCUACUUGAUGACUAAAUUAUUUUAUGGGUCGAGUUAUCCAACCUUUAAUGUUUUUUUUAAGAAGUUUGUGAAAUUAGGUUGAAACUUUCCAAUUGGCUUAAUUAUGAUGUUGGAGAGAUACAAGUAAUGACAUCAAGAAUGAUUUCCAAGUUUGAAAAGUAUUGGAGUGUGAUUCAUGGUGUGUUGGCAAUAGCAACAAUAUUAGAUCCUAGAUUCAAGAUGAGAUUGGUUGAGUUUUAUUUUCCUCAAAUCUAUGGAUCUCAUUAUACUGUAGAAAUUGAACUUGUUAGAGAAUUGUGUUGUGAUUUGAUGAAGGUUUAUAGUUCAAGAUCAAGUAUAAUAGAAGAACCUCAACGUUCUGCAUCUACAUCUUAUUCGACUUCAAAGCGGGAUGGAAGUAGUAGGAAAACUUCUCUUGCUAAUAGGAAAGAUCGCCACCUUAAGUUUAAAGUGUUUGUUAGUAAUAUGGAGAAUGAUGUUGACAAUGUCAAAUCAGAGCUUGAUCGUUAUUUGGAUGAAUCUCUUUUACCACGAACAUAAGACUUUAACAUUUUGCAAUGGUGGAAAUUGAAUGAAGUCAAGUAUAAUGUUUUGUAUGAAAUUGCAAAGGAUGUUCUAGCUGUUCCCAUCACUACUGUUGCUUCUGAAUCUUAGUAUUGGUGGUAGACAUAUAGGUCCACGUCAUUCUCAAAUUCAUGUAAACUUAUUGGAAGCUUUGAUGUGUACUCAAGAUUGGCUACGGACCGAAGAUAAGCAUACUUCUAUUGAUGCUAAAGUGUUAGAAAAUGGUCUUCACGGUCAAGACAUAGACGAUGAUGGAUCAUUUCCUACAAAAUUGGAUGAAAUUCGUUCAUGGUUUGACUUUACUUUGUUAUGUGGCCUUGAAUUGUAUUUUGUAAUCUUCUCUUAAAAAAUUUGUUGUUAUUUCUUUAAAAAUAUUAUCUAAUUGAAGACUUUGUUAGAAUAGUUAUUGAUUGAUUUUUUUUUUUAAUGAAUUUAUGCAUGGAUUUCUAAAUG